AUGUCAUUCUUGAAGGCGUGGGAGGUGGUCCGCACCUGCGUGCUCGCGCGGCAGUGGCGCCACCUCUGUCGCGCCCUGCGUCGACCUCCGCACCCGCCUGAGAAGUUUCGCUACUUCGUGCACCGCCUCUUCCUCCUCCGGGACGCAUCGGCGCCAGUGUGCAUGCUCCGCCUGUGGUCGAGCAACGAAGAAGCGGGCUUCACCGAUGAUGACGCCAACGCGUGGAUGAGGGCCGCCAUCAAACGCAACGCACGGGUUAUCCAUCUCAUCGGGCAUCACCCGGAGAUCGCGUCGUUGGACCGCGUGUCAUUCAGCUCUUGCCACCUGAAGGUCUUGAAGUUGUCGUAUGCCAGGCUCGACUACAGUUCCCUCAAGCAGCUCUCUUCUGGUUGCACGUCUUUGGAAGAACUGGAUCUCAAGGAUUGCUUGGUGAUGGGCCCUAGGAUUGUGUCGGCCUCUUUGAAGAUGUUAAUCAUGAUCAACUGCAAGGCCAGUUGCGCCUUCUCCAUUGCUGCUCCAAACCUCCUACUUCUGCACCUCGUCACACCUUACGUCUGA
rnacentral:rRNA from 1 species